UGGAUUAGAAACCCAAAUCAAAUUUGAUAAAAUGCUUAUGCCUAAAUUUGAUGAUCCCCAGAAAAGUAAGUAAAGGAUACAGAUUUAAAAUGCAUUAUUGAGUGGAAAUAAAAAGAAGGAAAUUUUUUCAAGAGUCAUUCUUUCCAGUCAGCACUGCUGUUACAGCAUUUCGUUGAUGGAAUAUAAAGCAAAAAUGGUACAUAACAGCAGAUGGGACAUUUCCAUUUAUCAUGGACAGAUUCACCAGUUUAUUGUGCUGUUUCAUAGGAAAAGAAAUGUCUGUCAUAGCAGUCAACUCUGAAGAAAAUCCUCAAGACACAGAAUCAAAGGUCGACUGGGCAGCCCAGGCUCCUGCUUUUAGAUAGGUGUGGUCUUCAUGAUUCCUUUUAUCCAUGAGAUGGAUUCCAUCUG
rnacentral:lncRNA from 1 species